GACUAUCGGCUUUAAGACUAAGCUUGAUUAAGUAUAUGGAGGGGAUGAUAUGAUGGGAUAGUUUAAUGUUGGGGCAAUUGAUCUUGGUUAUCAGCAGAAUACGUUCUGCUCAAUGGUCUGCAGGGAGAUCUUGG